rnacentral:tRNA from 2 species
GCUCCCGUGGUUCAGUGGUAGAAUUCGUCCUUGGUAAGGACGAGAUCGCGAGUUCGAUUCUCGCCGGGAGCU